AGCGAACGCUGGCGGCAGGCCUAACACAUGCAAGUCGAACGAACUCUUCGGAGUUAGUGGCGGACGGGUGAGUAACACGUGGGAACGUGCCUUUUGGUUCGGAAUAACUCAGGGAAACUUGUGCUAAUACCGAAUGUGCCCUUCGGGGGAAAGAUUUAUCGCCAUUAGAGCGGCCCGCGUCUGAUUAGCUGGUUGGUGAGGUAACGGCUCACCAAGGCGACGAUCAGUAGCUGGUCUGAGAGGAUGACUAGCCACACUGGGACUGAGACACGGCCGAGACUCCUACGGGAGGCAGCAGUGGGGAAUCUUGCGCAAUGGGCGAAAGCCUGACGCAGCCAUGCUGCGUGAAUGAUGAAGGUCUUAGGAUUGUAAAAUUCUUUCACCGGGGACGAUAAUGACGGUACCCGGAGAAGAAGCCCCGGCUAACUUCGUG
rnacentral:rRNA from 1 species